rnacentral:lncRNA from 10 species
CGCAGGACCUGGGCGUGGGGACACCACCAGGCAGGAGCAGAGGCAGGACUGGGACGCCAAAAGCUGAGAAUCCUCGAUGCCCGCGCGAGAGCCCCGUGUUAUGGCGAGUUCUGGAGGCUGGGAAGUUCAAGACCAAUGCACGAGAAUUUGGUCUAAAGAGAAUCUUCUUGCUCUGAACACACAUAGUAGAAGGCAGAAGGGCAAGAGAGAGAACAAAGUCUGUGUCUCCACAUGGCAGAAGAGCAGAGGAGACAGAACCUACUCCUCUAUGGCAACCACCCCAUCAAUGACAAAAAUCCUAGAAGGAUGUAUGUAUAGGAAGUUGAAGUGUUGAGAAGAGAAUGGCUCAGAGUCAAGCGGGAACAAGAUUCAAACUUCAGAGAGAGAGGGAAGAAAAACAUUUAAAUAUAUCUGGCAUAAUCCAAGACUAUUUACGACAAGUGUUCUGUGUUUCUAAUAAUAAAACAGACUUCACCUCGGAGUACCUGCAGAACUGGGACCCCAAUGACCAGGGAGAAUGAAGAACAACUUGUUGAAGGUAUAGAGAAGGCAGCAAAUCAUACAAGAAGGUCCAUCCCAAACCAGAGAUAGUAUAGAUAAAUCUCUCAUGUUAACUAUGGAAAAAAUAAAGGAAGAUGACGUAUUUUAAUAGAAGGGAAAUUGCGCUUAUUGGGAGUAAGAACACUGAAUUGACUGAAUAUCUUAAAGAGAGUUAGGAAGUGAAAUUCUCAACAGGUGAUUAUUCUUUGACCAAUUUUGUCUUAUCUCUUAUCCACAUUCUUCCCUGCUCUUCCCAAUACAUGUGUAAGAAUAUCCAAGGGCACACACAUACCAUAAGCAGGAAUGGUGUCCUAAGGAAAGUCAAUAUAGAGAGUAAGAAGUAUAUCUGUCACAAUGUGUACAUGUAUACAUCCUAAAUAUUUGUACAAUUAAUUUACUUCUCUUCAUUUCCAACACUCCUAGUCUAUGCUAUGAACAUCUCUUACCUAAAAUGCUACAGAUGUCCCCUAAAUUUUUCCAUAAAUCAGUUUUUUCCUCUCCAAGCUGUAAGCAGAAAUGCAUUUUUAAAUUGCAUAUAUGACCGUGACACGUAUCUGUCUCAGUUUAUAGAACAGGUCUCUAACAGGGCCAGCAGCUUCCAGUCACUUCUGUCCCUUACCUUUUCUCCAGUCUCAUUUUACAUAUUUUUUUACAUGCUCUCUAUAUUCCUGUAAUUAAAUAUUACUUUCCCCUCAAUGCCUUUGGACUGCUUCUUUCCUCCACAUUAAAUACUUUUUACCACUUCCCUCAGUUCAGUUCAUUCUCCUCCGUGUUUAGAGCUCAGCUCAGAUAUCCUUUUCUCAUGGAGACAUUCUCUGGCCAACCCAGACUAGAUCAUUUUCCCUUGCUGUAUACUUUCAUACCUCCCUCUGUCUUUCCUUCAUAACACUUUGGUAAGUGUGUACAACUGCAUCCUUGUUUUUAUUUAAUUUCCUCUCACUGCCAUGUUCUGUAAACUCAAUGCAAGCUGAGUCUGCCUAUUUAUUUCACUAUGCGACACCUAACUCCUAACAAAGUAUUAAACAAAAUAGGUGCCAAAAUAUCUGUUAAGCCAUUGUGUGAAUGUAUAAAUGAAUAAAGAUAUGAAUACAGAUACACUAGUCUAAACACGUUUGCAUGGCACAUACCUAUAUGUGUUCCAAAUAGAUAACAAGGAGAAUCACAAUUGAUCAUUGCCAGAAGAAAAAUCUGGUAAAACUUUUACUUUCCAGAUAUUUAAAUAGCAUUCAUGUUAAAAUUUUUAGUUCACUUUUAUAAUGCAUUGAAAAUACUUAGGGACAUUAUUUACUUAUCAGAAGUUUAUUUUACUCUUUGAAAAUAUAUUGCUUACUGGACUAUUCACAAUAGCAAAGACAUGGAAUCAACCUAAGUGUCCUUCAGUGGGGGGACUAAAUAAAGAAAAUGUGGCAUAUAUAUACCAUGGAAUACUACACAGCCAUAAAAAAACAAAAUUAUGAUUUUUUUUUUUUUUUUGGCAGCAACAUAGAUGCAGCUGGAGGCCAUUAUCCUAAGUGAAAUAAUGCAGGAACAGAAAACCAAAUACUGCUUAUAAGGGAGAGCUAAACAUUACUCAUAGAAAUAAAGAUGGCAACAAUAGACAUUGGAGACUACUAGAUGGGGAAGGGAUGGAUUAAAAGGGCUGAAAAACUAACUCUUGGGUACUACGCUCACCUCCUGGGUUACAGAAUCAUUCUUAUCCUAAACCUUAGCAUACACAAUAUACCCAGGUAAGAAACUUGCACAUGUACCCCCAAAUCUAAAAUAAAAGUUGAAAAUUAA